rnacentral:rRNA from 1 species
GAUGAACGCUGGCGGCGUGCCUAAUACAUGCAAGUCGAGCGGAUGGAAGGAAGCUUGCUUCCUAAAGUCAGCGGCGGACGGGUGAGUAACACGUGGGCAACCUGCCCCUAAGAUCGGAAUAACUUCGGGAAACCGGAGCUAAUACCGGAUAUGAUUAUGUCUCACAUGAGACAUAAUGGAAAGACGGUCUCGGCUGUCACUUAGGGAUGGGCCCGCGGCGCAUUAGCUAGUUGGUGAGGUAACUGCUCACCAGGGCGACGAUGCGUAGCCGACCUGAGAGGGUGAUCGGCCACACUGGGACUGAGACACGGCCCAGACUCCUACGGGAGGCAGCAGUAGGGAAUCUUCCGCAAUGGACGAAAGUCUGACGGAGCAACGCCGCGUGAGUGAAGAAGGUUUUCGGAUCGUAAAACUCUGCUGUUAGGGAAGAACAAGUACCAUAGUAACUGAUGGUACCUUGACGGUACCUAACCAGAAAGCCACGGCUAACUACGUGCCAGCAGCCGCCGUAACAC